rnacentral:rRNA from 1 species
CCUACGGGAGGCAGCAGUGAGGAAUAUUGGUCAAUGGACGCAAGUCUGAACCAGCCAUGCCGCGUGCAGGAAGACGGCUCUAUGAGUUGUAAACUGCUUUUGUACGAGGGUAAACGCAGAUACGCGUAUCUGUCUGAAAGUAUCGUACGAAUAAGGAUCGGCUAACUCCGUGCCAGCAGCCGCGGUAAUACGGAGGAUUCAAGCGUUAUCCGGAUUUAUUGGGUUUAAAGGGUGCGUAGGCGGUCGGAUAAGUUAGAGGUGAAAUCCCGAGGCUCAACUUGGGAAUUGCCUCUGGUACUGUUCGGCUAGAGAGUGGUUACGGUAGGCGGAAUGUAUGGUGUAGCGGUGAAAUGCUUAGAGAUCAUACAGAACACCGAUUGCGAAGGCAGCUUACCAAGCUACUUCUGACGUUGAGGCACGAAAGCGUGGGGAGCGAACAGGAUUAGAUACCCUUGUAGUC